GAGUUUGAUCAUGGCUCAGGAUGAACGCUGGCGGCGUGCCUAAUACAUGCAAGUCGAGCGAACAGAUAAGGAGCUUGCUCCUUUGAAGUUAGCGGCGGACGGGUGAGUAACACGUGGGUAACCUACCUAUAAGACUGGGAUAACUUCGGGAAACCGGAGCUAAUACCGGAUAACAUUUAGAACUGCAUGGUUCUAAAGUGAAAGAUGGUUUUGCUAUCACUUAUAGAUGGACCCGCGCCGUAUUAGCUAGUUGGUAAGGUAACGGCUUACCAAGGCGACGAUACGUAGCCGACCUGAGAGGGUGAUCGGCCACACUGGAACUGAGACACGGUCCAGACUCCUACGGGAGGCAGCAGUAGGGAAUCUUCCGCAAUGGGCGAAAGCCUGACGGAGCAACGCCGCGUGAGUGAUGAAGGGUUUCGGCUCGUAAAACUCUGUUAUUAGGAAGAACAAAUGUGUAAGUAACUGUGCACAUC
rnacentral:rRNA from 1 species